UGUAUAAUGGGUCAGCGACUUAUAUUCUGUAGCAAGGUUAACCGAAUAGGGGAGCCGAAGGGAAACCGAGUCUUAACUGGGCGUUAAGUUGCAGGGUAUAGACCCGAAACCCGGUGAUCUAGCCAUGGGCAGGUUGAAGGUUGGGUAACACUAACUGGAGGACCGAACCGACUAAUGUUGAAAAAUUAGCGGAUGACUUGUGGCUGGGGGUGAAAGGCCAAUCAAACCGGGAGAUAGCUGGUUCUCCCCGAAAGCUAUUUAGGUAGCGCCUCGUGAAUUCAUCUCCGGGGGUAGAGCACUGUUUCGGCAAGGGGGUCAUCCCGACUUACCAACCCGAUGCAAACUGCGAAUACCGGAGAAUGUUAUCACGGGAGACACACGGCGGGUGCUAACGUCCGUCGUGAAGAGGGAAACAACCCAGACCGCCAGCUAAGGUCCCAAAGUCAUGGUUAAGUGGGAAACGAUGUGGGAAGGCCCAGACAGCCAGGAUGUUGGCUUAGAAGCAGCCAUCAUUUAAAGAAAGCGUAAUAGCUCACUGGUCGAGUCGGCCUGCGCGGAAGAUGUAACGGGGCUAAACCAUGCACCGAAGCUGCGGCAGCGACACUAUGUGUUGUUGGGUAGGGGAGCGUUCUGUAAGCCGUUGAAGGUGUGCUGUGAGGCAUGCUGGAGGUAUCAGAAGUGCGAAUGCUGACAUAAGUAACGAUAAAGCGGGUGAAAAGCCCGCUCGCCGGAAGACCAAGGGUUCCUGUCCAACGUUAAUCGGGGCAGGGUGAGUCGACCCCUAAGGCGAGGCCGAAAGGCGUAGUCGAUGGGAAACAGGUUAAUAUUCCUGUACUUGGUGUUACUGCGAAGGGGGGACGGAGAAGGCUAUGUUGGCCGGGCGACGGUUGUCCCGGUUUAAGCGUGUAGGCUGAUUUUCCAGGCAAAUCCGGAGAAUCAAGGCUGAGGCGUGAUGACGAGGCACUACGGUGCUGAAGCAACAAAUGCCCUGCUUCCAGGAAAAGCCUCUAAGCAUCAGGUAACAUCAAAUCGUACCCCAAACCGACACAGGUGGUCAGGUAGAGAAUACCAAGGCGCUUGAGAGAACUCGGGUGAAGGAACUAGGCAAAAUGGUGCCGUAACUUCGGGAGAAGGCACGCUGAUAUGUAGGUGAAGCGACUUGCUCGUGGAGCUGAAAUCAGUCGAAGAUACCAGCUGGCUGCAACUGUUUAUUAAAAACACAGCACUGUGCAAACACGAAAGUGGACGUAUACGGUGUGACGCCUGCCCGGUGCCGGAAGGUUAAUUGAUGGGGUCAGCCGCAAGGCGAAGCUCUUGAUCGAAGCCCCGGUAAACGGCGGCCGUAACUAUAACGGUCCUAAGGUAGCGAAAUUCCUUGUCGGGUAAGUUCCGACCUGCACGAAUGGCGUAA
rnacentral:rRNA from 1 species